rnacentral:rRNA from 1 species
UACGGAGGGGGCUAGCGUUGUCCGAAGUUACUGGGCGUAAAGCGCGCGUAGGCGGGUUGGUAAGUCCGCUGUGAAAGCCCGGAGCUCAACUCCGGAGGGUCGGUGGAUACUGCCAGUCUUGAAGGUGCUAGGGGGAGAUGGAAUUACCGGUGUAGCGGUGAAAUGCGUAGAUAUCGGUAGGAACACCAGUGGCGAAGGCGGUCUCCUGGGGCAUUCUUGACGCUGGGGCGCGAAAGCUGGGGGAGCGAACAGG